rnacentral:tRNA from 1 species
ACGGGUAGCUCAGCAGUCUAGAGCAGCAGCCCUACCCAGGACUGCAGAUCAUGGGUUUGAAUCCUGUCUCACGUA